rnacentral:rRNA from 1 species
GAUGAACGCUGGCGGCGCGCCUAACACAUGCAAGUCGAACGGCACCCCUCCUCGGAGGGAAGCGAGUGGCGAACGGCUGAGUAACACGUGGAGAACCUGCCCCCUCCCCCGGGAUAGCCGCCCGAAAGGACGGGUAAUACCGGAUACCCCCGGGCGCCGCAUGGCGCCCGGGCUAAAGCCCCGACGGGAGGGGAUGGCUCCGCGGCCCAUCAGGUAGACGGCGGGGUGACGGCCCACCGUGCCGACAACGGGUAGCCGGGUUGAGAGACCGACCGGCCAGAUUGGGACUGAGACACGGCCCAGACUCCUACGGGAGGCAGCAGUGGGGAAUCUUGCGCAAUGGGGGGAACCCUGACGCAGCGACGCCGCGUGCGGGACGGAGGCCUUCGGGUCGUAAACCGCUUUCAGCAGGGAAGAGUCAAGACUGUACCUGCAGAAGAAGCCCC